rnacentral:rRNA from 1 species
CCUACGGGGUGCAGCAGUGAGGAAUAUUGGUCAAUGGACGAGAGUCUGAACCAGCCAAGUAGCGUGAAGGAUGACUGCCCUAUGGGUUGUAAACUUCUUUUAUAUGGGAAUAAACUGUUCCACGUGUGGGAUUUUGUAUGUACCAUAUGAAUAAGGAUCGGCUAACUCCGUGCCAGCAGCCGCGGUAAUACGGAGGAUCCGAGCGUUAUCCGGAUUUAUUGGGUUUAAAGGGAGCGUAGGUGGAUUGUUAAGUCAGUUGUGAAAGUUUGCGGCUCAACCGUAAAAUUGCAGUUGAAAAUGGCAGUCUUGAGUACAGUAGAGGUGGGCGGAAUUCGUGGUGUAGCGGUGAAAUGCUUAGAUAUCACGAAGAACUCCGAUUGCGAAGGCAGUUCACUGGACUGCAACUGACACUGAGGCUCGAAAGUGUGGGUAUCAAACAGGAUUAGAUACCCCUGUAGUC